UAGCGAUUAACUCUGAAUGCUGCAGGAAAUGUGGCAUUGUCGUCAGCUGUUUAAUUAGGGGAGACGACUCCAGAACGUGAGACAAAAGAUGUGUUACUGUAGUGAGUUAGGUUUUGUUUAAAAUACCAUUUUAUAUUAUUACUAAGAGUCUACUAGAUUUGUUUCGUUUCAUCACAAUUUGAUUUUGUCUAUAUUUUAAUAAAAGUUAUAUUUGGAAUUGUUCACAAAAAAAGUUAUUCAAGUUAUUUCAAGUUUUAUUAGUUAAGAUAUAUUACGCCUACGUCGGUUUAGCUGUCUACCAACGGUUCAGUGCUACAAAUGAAC